UGAGCCUCCUACAGCCCAGUGGUGUAGCACAAGCAAGUUGUCCAGGUUGCUUUCUUCCUGCUGAAAUCCUGAGUUUUGCAACAGAGGAUUUCCAAAGCCUGUCAGGGAUGGGUCUCAGGCCUUCACCCCCUGGCCAGAGAAACAGUGCAGGAACGCCUUGGAGGGAAUGAUCCACGCAUGUCCCCUCAGCAUGUGCUCGCUCUCUGAUGGCAGGAGCAGAGGCGAGCACUGGCUGCAUUGGAGCUGGGUCUGGUUGUUCCUUUCCUUGGUGUGCAGCUUGCCUUGCGCUGCAGGAUUUCACUGGAGAUAGCAUGGGUUGGGCAUGGUGAGAGGGAGCAGGGACAAAGUUUGGGAGCUCUGGGGACUAAAGUUCAAAAUAAGCAGUCUGAAAGAAUGGAGAAAUGUGAAAAACAGGAAGAAGACGAGGAGAAAGAUGCCGAGGAUGGUGCUGGGGAGAUGAGCCUUGUGAUCUGGAAGUCAUGGAUAGGCACCAAACCUUGGUGGGGAGGGCAUGGCCAUACUGCUUGCUAUUUCUCCUCUCUUUGCUGGUUAAAAGUCAGCAAGGCAAACCCAUGGAGGAUUCCUUGUACCCUGUGUGAAGGACAUAGGUGAGCAGAGAAGUGCCUCUGUAAGCAUUGCUUCAGUGCUGGUUCUGCAAAGAGGCUGCAGGAACUCAUUAUUCAUGAUUUUAUCUUGCUACCUGAAAUACAUAAAUAGCCUAAAGGUUCCUCUGAUGGACUUUUUCCAGCUCUUUGAUGUGCCAAAGAUAAUUUCUGUACAUACUCCCUCAACCUGUCCCCACUCCCUACCUAAAGUUUAAUGUUUCUACUUGUUAUGUUUACCUGUCUGUACUAGACUGCAAGCUCCAUAAGACGGGGGCCUUGCCAUCUUUCAUGUUGAAGGAGUUGUAACAUCAACAGCUAUAAAACGGGAUAUAAAUUAUCAAAGCAACAUAAACUGUCACAGCUCAACUCUUGGGCAUCAUCUGCACUGAGAAGCUGGCCCUGAGCCUUGUGGUGCUCUGGAUUUUAAGACUGUGGGACUGCAACAGUGGGAGCAGAUGGAGGCAUCCCCAGACCCAUGCCGGGCUCCUGUAGCUAAGGCAAGAAUGGCACAGAGCUGAGUGGUGCCUGCUGCCCUGCCUCUCACAGCUGGGGCACGUCCCUGUGUGUCCCUAUGGUCCAGCAGCAUUUCUGUGAGCCUUCAGCAUGCUGGCAGCCAGGUCCUGGGAGCUGCUUCCUCCUUGCAGCCUGGGAUGUGUCAGGGAGAGACCUUGUUUUUAUAACCUCCUGUUAUGGCUGGAGGUGAUGCCUCUGCGGUGGCGGCUGGGGAGCAGGCUUUGAUCUGGAUGCAUCCUUUGGGAAGCCAGGCCUCUGAGCCUUCCUUGCCUUGGGCAAGAGCCAAGAGGAUUUCCCCUAAGUACAGAGCCAUCAGAGCUUAUCAGAGCUGUCUUGCUGUCACCACCCUGCAGGCAGCAUCUGGCCUGGAGGUCGGGCAGAGGCACCUGGGGCAGGGGGAGCCCAGCAGCAGCUGGGAGCAGGAUGGGAUGAUGAGGGGAUGCUGUGAAUGAGGAAACGGCCCCAUCACCUGGGGGGUGCUGUGAAUGAGCCAACAGCCCCAUCACCCAGCUCACCUGGGGCAUUCAGCCCAGGUAUCCUCUGCACACCCGGCCAGCCAGACUGCCUUGCUCGGGGCUGGCCCCUCACUAGAUCUCAGAAGUGCUGGUGUUUCUGGCUCCUUCUUUUGCCCAUCUGCUCCUGUGGACUGCUCGAGGCACUUCCACACUUCUUUCAAACAAAGCUGUUCUUUCGCUGACCCAGGGUUGCUAUUCACUGAUGAAUUGGAUGCUGUUCAUCGCAGCUUGAAAUACCGUUUGCUGCUCUUAAUGCUUUCCAUUCAUUUUCUGUGGCGAUCGGAUUCAUAGCAGCAGAUACGCAGCUUUCAUUGAUACUUGAUGCAGCAGCCAUACCCUCAGCAAAGGCUUUUUUGUGCAUAGGGCUCCAAACCUUUCAAGCAGGCUGUGGUGGAAAGCCAUAAUGUCCCUUUUCUGCCAUGCCCCGAGCCACCUGCAGCCUGUGAAAGAGCACAUUGUUUCCGCAAUUAAAGAAACAACAUGGGCAGUGUCUGUGCUGCCUUCGAGGGAGGGCUCUGGGUAAUCCCUUCUCGCUCUGCCCCCAUCCUUCACCCCCCACCAUCCUGUCUGAGGCCCAGUUUUAGCCCCAGUGCUGCUUAAUUCCCAAUGGGGAGAUAUUUGCAGGGUGGGAUUUUAUUUCCAGCAGCUAAAUGAGCCCCUCGAAACUAUUCUACCAGCACUUGUGUAGGGGGAAGAUGCUGCACUGCUUUUUGCUCAGAGAAAAGGAGCCUGACAGCUUAGCGCUGCUCAGAGACAGGAAAAUUACUUUGUCUGGUGAAUAUUCUAAAGAGAUGAAAUAACAGGGCAUGAUCAAAAUCCUCUGCUUAACAGAAGAGCUGCCUGACUCCUGCAAAGCCAACAACUGCAUUGUUUUACUCAGCUUUUGCAGAGCAACGUGAGAGAAGGAGCAGUGGCGAUUCCUGCGAAUGCUUUCAGCCAAAAAACGGGAGGCUUGGGCUGUGAUUCAUGCUGUCAGCCACAGGAAAAGUCCCUGCCCCAGCAAAUAAGUCGGGGUUUGCCAUGGGAACGUCCCUGCUGGCGCUUGCCUGGUUCACCUUUCCCGGGACAGGGGCCAUCACCACCAGCUCGGCGCUGUCAGGAGCCACCCAGCCGCAAGGCUUCGGCACGGUGCAGUGCCAGCAGUGUGUUUUCGGCACACGGAGCCGCGUCGUGAAGGCAACGGCUGUGGUGCUCAAGGGAAAAACAACAGCGCUUGAAGAAGGGCGGGCUACAGGCCCAGCCAGAAAAAGGCCAGCCGUAAAGGCCGGGCUGCCCGGCAUGCUGGGCCUGGCAGGGCCGCAGCUCGCCUGUUUGCCUUCUGGGAGAAGUCCCCGCUGUGGCUGGCUUUGCCUAUUUGAUCCGGGCUGAGGUCAUGUCUUUUCCUAUCUGCUGCGCUCCCACUGCAAGUGCCUGUAAGAGGCUAAUUGCUGUAACGCUUCUAAUUGCCCAGCCAACACGUUGCCUCUGUUCAACCCGUGAUCCCAGCCACAGGAGCUGGGGCAGCCACCCACUGUUUGCUGGCUCAGAGGCAGCGGCACCGGCAAACAAAGGCUUGCUGUGGGUGUCACUGGGAGCAGCCUUGGUGCCCGGCCCGUGGCACUGAACGAGGAUUUUCAAGGGGUGCCCAAGACCCUUGGCUCCCACCGAAUGGGAUGGUGGGUGCACAGCAGGGGGACAGGCAGGGAGCUUAUGACAGGAACAGCAUGCAACGCUGCCUCUGUGUGAGGAGACCCCAGCUGCCAGCUUCAGCCUGGAAAGGUUCAGGCUUGGGGCUACAGCAGCAGUACCCAGCCUGCUGAGUAACAGGAGGAAUGGGAGCCGUUUGCUCAUAAGACUUAAUGGACGUUAAAUGAAAUCAUUGGGCAGAUAUUUUUUUAAGACAUGGAGGAAGUCUUUUUUUUUUUUUUUUUUCAGGCGGACGUAAUUAAUUGGUGGAACUCAUUGCCACGGGAUGCUCCAGGUGCCCAAACUGUACGUUGGUUCAAAAGCAAUUAGGCAAAUUAAUGUGACAGCAGCCUGUGGAGGCCUGGUAAAGCUGAUGUUGCAGAUGCUGCCUGUGGCUCAGGAAGCCACUCUCCCCUGCGACCAGAGCUGCAGGAUGGCCGCAGCGUGUCUUCUCCUCCCAGGGCUCCCCGUGCAGAUUUGCAACGUUCCCUGUGUAGAGAACAAAUGUAAAAAGAAAUCAAGGGACGUCUCAUUCUCACAGUGUGUUACUGGGAGGGAGAAGAGGAGGACUUUGCAACUCUUGCUUCUCUGAGGUGUGUUUCUGCAGGAGUAUAAGUUGGCCUUGGAUGGGAGAGCCGUGUUUUUGCCUUCCUCCUCCUCUCCGACCUCUUGCUGACAAUGGUUUUGCCUGACCAAGGCAGGCCGAGCCAACAAGGAAGCCACUGGUGUGGGUGCCACGGCUUGUGCCAGGCCAUGGGGGCAGCAGGACAGAGAAGGGGGGAUGGGACCACGUCUGCUGCCCUAGCUGCACCCUCGGCCUCGCAUCCUCACGCCUGGACAC